UCGCCGCUAUAAUCAAGUAUUCACAAGCACCGCUUAUUUACCUUCUUGAGCCGUAGAUGAGACUCUUCAAGGUCAGAGUCUGAGUCUUGAUCUUCUGUGGCUUGUGACUUGACUGAUUAACAUUCUGCAAAUACAGUUAAAUCUCCGUAAUGUGGAAUGGCAGCAGACAAGUCCUCCCUUCUGCACCACCUUCCUCUGCAGGUACCUACAUAGCCCUCUUACACUACCUUGACCCCUUCUGUCAAAGCCAAAGGCAUAUGCUCAGCCACAGUGCCGCUGGGUUUAGAAUGACUAACUGUCGUACCCAUCUCAGGAGUCAUUGCCUUAUAAAAGAGAAGUCGGAGGGACCAAAGCCUCUCCCAAAGGAAUGGAUCGCUAAUGAUUGGAUCCCAGGCCUUGUGGUCCCUGGGUGGGGGACAUAUAUUGGGUGCCCCUCAGACACCACCAUGUAAGCGGCUGCCUACUGCUCCUCAAGUCUUGAUUGGAAGAAGCCACUGCUUUUAGAUUGGAUUCCUGUUACUGGUGCCUAAAGGCUUGAAAAGACGCAGAGGAAGAACGUAGGUUGAAAUUCUUACUCAAUAGGAGUCACAGACAGUCUGUGUGAAUUGUCGCACAUUCUGAGGUAGUGGUGUCUCAAUUACAGAAGUCUGACCAUGUGCACCUCUGGCCCUUCCGCCGUUAUCCGUACUCAGCAGAUGUGGGGAUGUCAGAGGAUGAUGGGAACACAAAAGAAGGGGAGGAGUGGGGCUGAGGGUUGUAUUUUCCGAGUGCGUGUUUUUAAUACUGUUUCAUUUCUGAGGCGGUUUCGCUUCUCAUCAUUCAUCAAGUCUUGUCGAGCUUCCCCCUGAGUAUCUCCCCAGCCUGUCACCUCUUCACCCUCACCGCCUUUCGGAGCGCCCGUGGGCACCCACAGACAGCCCCUCCUAUCUGCUCUGCCUCCCUCUGGUGUCACCUCUUUUCCAAACCAUCCUCCAUUCAGGCUGACCCAGUGGGCUGACGUAGCCACGUCACCCCUGCUUUGCAUUCUUCAGUGCCUUCUCAUCGCUCCCCGGACAAGGUCCAAAUCUCUUAGUCCCGCGUACAAAGCUCUUCACGCCGAUUCCAUGCUUCUCCUCUGACUUCACGUUUCACCGUCUCUUCGUGCACAGAUGAAAUCCCAGCCACAUGGAGCUGCCUGUGGCUCCCCAUCAUGUCACGCGUUGUCACGCUUCCUUGCUUUCGUGCCUGCUGUUCUGUCGGCCUAGAGCAUCUGUCCCCACCCUCCCUUGUCUUCCGGUGAAGUCCUGUUCCUCCUUCGGGUCUACCCGAUUGUUCCUUUCUCUGUGAAAGCUUCCCUAAUUCCACCAGGCUUACUACAGACUGCUCCCUCUGGAGUCCUCUAGCGCCUUACGUACCCCUUGACUGGCACUUACCUCGUGUAUCACAGCUACCCGUUGAUGUGUCUGUGUCCUCUAUUAGACUGUGAGCUCCUUGAGAGCAAGGAACGUCCCAUUCUUCUCUGUAUCCCGAGCGCCUAGCAAAUGCCUGGUACGUGGUAGCGACUUAAUAAAUAUUUGCUGAGUGAAUGAA